GUGGCAAACAGAUUGUCGGUGCCCAGUGGUUUGGCCAAACCAAACAGUCAAAAAACUUGAACGAAAUAGUGCAGAAAACGAGAGAGACACAGACGUUUACAGUUUGCACACGUCGGGGAUUUGUGAAAGAAAAAGAAAGAGAGAGGGAGAGAGAGUGAGUCUACGUUCCUUGCCACAUUUUCUGCUAUACCGAAAAUUGGUAAUGGUCAACGAGCA
ensembl:ncRNA Y102A11A.12 ncRNA